GAUGAACGCUGGCGGCGUGCCUAAUACAUGCAAGUCGAGCGAACAGACGAGGAGCUUGCUCCUCUGACGUUAGCGGCGGACGGGUGAGUAACACGUGGAUAACCUACCUAUAAGACUGGGAUAACUUCGGGAAACCGGAGCUAAUACCGGAUAAUAUAUUGAACCGCAUGGUUCAAUAGUGAAAGACGGUUUUGCUGUCACUUAUAGAUGGAUCCGCGCCGCAUUAGCUAGUUGGUAAGGUAACGGCUUACCAAGGCGACGAUGCGUAGCCGACCUGAGAGGGUGAUCGGCCACACUGGAACUGAGACACGGUCCAGACUCCUACGGGAGGCAGCAGUAGGGAAUCUUCCGCAAUGGGCGAAAGCCUGACGGAGCAACGCGGCGUGAGUGAUGAAGGUCUUCGGAUCGUAAAACUCUGUUAUUAGGGAGGAACAAAUGUGUAAGUAACUAUGCACGUCUUGACGGUACCUAAUCAGAAAGCCACGGCUAACUACGUG
rnacentral:rRNA from 1 species